rnacentral:miRNA from 1 species
CAGAGGUACAUCGUAGUUGCUGCGCUUAAGCGCAGCAACUACGAUGUACCUCUG